AUGAGUUCCUGCCUUUCCCAUAUAAUUAGAGAUCAUUCCCUUGAUUUUAUUUGCUUGCAAGAGAUCCAUAAGAAGAAGUUUCAGGAUAGUUAUUUUAGGAAAAUUGACCCUUACACUGCUUUUGAGUGGGAUUGGGUUCCCUCAGUGGGGAAAUAUGGAGGAAUUCUAUGUGGGGUCAAAAAAGAGAGGUUUGAAGUUGUUGCAUGGAGGAAAGGCAGGUUUAUUCUCCAAGUUGUUGUAUAUGACAUCAAGAUUAAAAAGCUUGCUCUUUGUACUAUCUAUGGGGCAACUCAUGAUAGUGAAAAACAAGAUUUUCUUAUAGAAUUAGCUGACUUUUGCAUUCAUGCGCAAACCCCUCUGUUAAUAGGAGGUGAUUUUAAUAUUCUGAGACAUGAGGGAGAGAAGAAUAAAAAUUGGCAUCGUUCCCCUUACACAGAUAUGUUCAAUUCUGUGAUUAACACGAUGUGUUUGAAUGAAAUUCACAUGAGCGGGGGAAUGUAUACAUGGAGUAACAACCAAGCCCAUCCUACUCUGGAAAAGUUAGAUUGAGUGCUUAUGAGCAAUGACUAGGAGGACUUAUUCCCUCAAGUCAAUAUCAAGAAAAUUGUUAGAGAUGUAUAUGAUCAUAAUGCUCUUUUGCUGUCCUCUGACAAUCAUGUUGUCAGAGUCCCGCAACAAAGAGAGUUUAGAUUUGAAAUUAGCUGGCUCAAGUGUGAUGAUUUCCUACCUUUAAUGGAUAAGGUCUGGAACCAGUAUGUUAAAGCUACAGACCCCAUUAAUGUGUUAAACAUCAAACUGAAACGUUUUAAAAAAUUCUUUAAGGGUUGGGGAUCCAACAAGUUUGGGCAUGAGAAGAUUAAGAAGAAGAUUAUCAGAGAGGAGCUGGCUAGUAUUGAAAAGGAAGAAGAGGAAGGGAUACUAGACCCAGAUAUAUUCUACAGAAAAACUGAGCUCUUAGUAGAGUUAAAUGAAAUUCUAGUUAAUGAAGAACUAUUCUUGUUACAGCAGUCCAAAGAGAGGUGGCUGCUCAAAGGGGAUAGUAACUCUGCUUAUUACCAAAAGAUUGCUAAUUGCAAUAAGAGGAAAAAUAUUAUUCACUCCCUGAAUGUAGGGGAUGUAGUAAUAGAGGGGACGAGUGAUCUUUUGAAUCAUGCCACUGAUUUUUAUAAAAAAUCUUUUUGGACCGCCCCCUGGAAACUUGCUCUAGGUGGAUCCUAA
rnacentral:rRNA from 1 species